CAAUAGCGUAUAUUAAAGUUGUUGCAGUUAAAAAGCUCGUAGUUGGAUUUCUGGUCGGAAGCUCCUGUCCUCUGAUGAGCGUACAAGUGCGUCCUACCAUCCUUCUGUUAACCUUUAAGGCUUUCGCGGCUUUCUAGGGGCUCAGAUAUUUUACCUUGAGAAAAUUAGAGUGUUUCAGGCAGGCUAGCGCCGGAAUACAUUAGCAUGGAAUAAUGGAAUAGGACUUUUGCCUCUUCUGUUGGUCGUGAGGCUCGAGUAAUGAUUAAUAGGGAUAGUUGGGGGCAUUAGUACUUAACUGUCAGAGGUGAAAUUCUCGGAUUUGUUAAAGACUAACUUAUGCGAAAGCAUUUGCCAAGGAUGUUUUCAUUA
rnacentral:rRNA from 1 species